UACAGAGGGGGCAAGCGUUGUUCGGAAUUACUGGGCGUAAAGGGCGCGUAGGCGGCCCGUUAAGUCGAACGUGAAAGCCCCGGGCUUAACCUGGGAAUGGCCAUGGAAACUGGCGAACUGGAGUGUGGCAGAGGGGGGUGGAAUUCCGCGUGUAGCAGUGAAAUGCGUAGAGAUGCGGAGGAACACCGAUGGCGAAGGCAGCCCCCUGGGCUAACACUGACGCUCAGGCACGAAAGCGUGGGGAGCAAACAGG
rnacentral:rRNA from 1 species